UACGGAGGGUGCAAGCGUUAUCCGGAUUCACUGGGUUUAAAGGGUGCGUAGGUGGGCUAGUAAGUCCGUGGUGAAAUCCCCGAGCUUAACUCGGGAACUGCCGUGGAUACUAUUAGUCUUGAAUAUCGUGGAGGUAAGCGGAGUAUGUCAUGUAGCGGUGAAAUGCUUAGAUAUGACAUAGAACACCGAUAGCGGAGGCAGCUUACUACGCGAUUAUUGACACUGAGGCACGAAAGCGUGGGGAUCAAACAGG
rnacentral:rRNA from 1 species